rnacentral:rRNA from 1 species
GGGAAACUUACGCUAAUACCGCAUACGACCUACGGGUGAAAGUGGGGGACCGCAAGGCCUCACGCAGAUAGAUGAGCCGACGUCGGAUUAGCUAGUUGGCGGGGUAAAGGCCCACCAAGGCGACGAUCCGUAGCUGGUCUGAGAGGAUGAUCAGCCACACUGGAACUGAGACACGGUCCAGACUCCUACGGGAGGCAGCGAUGGGGAAUAUUGGACAAUGGGCGCAAGCCUGAUCCACCCAUGCCGCGUGUGUGAAGAAGGCCUUCGGGUUGUAAAGCACUUUUGUCCGGAAAGAAAAGCUUAGGGUUAAUAACCUUGAGUCAUGACGGUACCGGAAGAAUAAGC